rnacentral:lncRNA from 1 species
AGGAUUCUUUAGAGCCCUUGAAGAGCAAAUUAGAAUAUUUAAAGAUGAAGUUGGAGAAGGUAUUAAGAAGAGAUGCGGGCCUGAGAGAUCAGAACUCUAUGCCUAGAUGUUGGUAUUGUGUCAAGGAAGGCCACUUGUGGAGAACCUGUCCAAGACUAAACAAAGGAGAUGACAACUCUCGUCAAAGGAGUCAAUGUUUAAACUAAAGAACGGCCAUCUCGCGGGUCAGAGGUUGCCGUGUGAUCAAGAUGCUCCGAUCGGUAUCUUCCAGAUUUCGUCUUUACAAGGAGGAGAUUACGGCCUGUUUGUGGAUGGAAGAAUUAAUGAUUUUCCCUGCUGUCUAAUCCUCGAUACGGGAGCAAAUGCGACAAUAGUUCGAACGGAUGUCGUUCGACUCUUGAACGUCCAUCUCCCCGGCAUGAGGACUAAAGUUUCU